rnacentral:tRNA from 1 species
GGUGAGAUGCCCGAGUGGCCGAAGGGAGCAGUUUGCUAAACUGUCGUACUAGAAAUGGUACCGUGGGUUCGAAUCCCACUCUCACCGCCA